AUUGAACGCUGGCGGCAGGCCUAACACAUGCAAGUCGAGCGGCAGCGGGAAAGUAGCUUGCUACUUUUGCCGGCGAGCGGCGGACGGGUGAGUAAUGCCUGGGAAAUUGCCCAGUCGAGGGGGAUAACAGUUGGAAACGACUGCUAAUACCGCAUACGCCCUACGGGGGAAAGCAGGGGACCUUCGGGCCUUGCGCGAUUGGAUAUGCCCAGGUGGGAUUAGCUAGUUGGUGAGGUAAUGGCUCACCAAUGCGACGAUCCCUAGCUGGUCUGAGAGGCUGAUCAGCCACACUGGAACUGAGACACGGUCCAGAAUCCUACGGGAGGCAGCAGUAGGGAAUAUUGCACAAUGGGGGAAAGCCUGAUGCAGCCAUGCCGCGUGUGUGAAGAAGGCCUUCGGGUUGUAAAGCACUUUCAGCGAGGAGGAAAGGUUGAUGCCUAAUACGUAUCAACUGUGACGUUACUCGCAGAAGAAGCACCGGCUAACUCCGUGCCAGCAGCCGCGGUAAGAC
rnacentral:rRNA from 1 species